rnacentral:lncRNA from 1 species
GUCAGUAAUUUUUAGGCACACCUGGUUGAAGUUGAAGGUAAUCAAAAUUUUACAAGCUCUAAUAAUUGAUAUUCACCGACACCGGUACACUUUCCAUGGUUACGAGACCAUCAAUAAUAAAUGGUAAAAGCCCAAGUCCAGACAGUAAUAAAUGUACCAGAGAUGUGUUGCAUUUGCUAAAAAAGAGAAACAUUCAACAUUAAAUAUGGGGAGAAGAAACAGGAAUAUAGCCACACGCAAGCAGUCCAGCCAAAACAAAAUCCUUUUCUUCAAACAAACCUUGAUGCAUGUUAAUGAUUAUAUGACCUCCAAAUUCCUCAUGUCUUCCCUAGAAAUGCUGGGCAUAUUAUGCGGCCAAUAAAAUAACUUUCUCAUGACACCUGAAGAAAUAUUUUAAGAAGGUGAAGCAGAAGUAUGUAAUACCCCAACCCCUCAAAGAAAAAGGUAACCACAAAAUGCUGAGACAAUUUUAUUCCAUGGAACUUCACCUGAAUCAUGGUGCUAGACAUCAGUUUCCACAGCUAUAUUCAAUGGAAAAGCCAGAUUCUUAAGUCAGUCGAUGAAAAUUUUAGACAUUUCGAAGCAUAUAACAACACAUCUUUAUCUUUGCAGCUUCUAAAGCUGAUGCCUGCAUGCAUGAUUCAGAAAUUAACAUGCUUUGGUGAAUCAAUCGCACAUUUUUUUUUUAUAUGCCUGUGAUAAUGCUCAACGUGUAGUUCCAGCAAAAAGCAAGAUAUCAAAGACCUUGAACCACCAAGGAGAUGCUGGUGUUCUCACCGGCAGAACAUCUUCAAAUGAGAUGACGCUGAUUUUCCAACAAAGCGAACUAAAAAUCACACAACAAGUAUGGAAUUCUUCUUGGGAUGCUAUUUCUCUGAACUUGAUCAGCAAGUUAGAAAGAUUAAUUAAUAUUCUUUAAAACCUAAUUCUUCCCGAAGUGGAGCAAACUCAUGUGCAGUGGAGAAGGAAGCAACUAGCCAGCGGACAGAUAACAAGGAGCAGACUUCAAUAUAGAAGUUAAAGAAUUUUUAAAUCCCUGGAUAUAAUCACUCAUAAAUGAAAUGAUAAAGGCUAGUUUUUUCCAUCUUUCUGGACUUACUGGCUACCUAGAUAUAGUCCUCCAAUCUCUCACACCAAAUUCGUUCUAAGACGACAGUGCAAGAAUAUCUCCACCAAGUAAAACCCUUUAAACAUAUUAGAAACGGCUAUUUAUAUUAAAAGAAAGAUCAAUGCUACUCACCGCUGCUAUCAGAAGGAUCGUACUCCAUGGCCAAAUACACCCCGCAACGUAAAAGAGCGGCCUGAAACCAUAGAAACCACUGCGAUCAACGGAAGUAAGAGGAAAAAAAGAGGGAUCUUUUGCCUUAACUGGAGCGAAUACCCAUCCAGAGCGAGAUAUCCACGUCUCUUCGAUGCAAUUAUUCUCACAUCAAAGCACCAAACUGUCCAAUCCGCGCUUCGGAAUCGGAAUUCGAAGUCCAGGAGGGAAAUUCUCGAGCGCUCUGUGGAGAUUUAGUGGAGAGAGAGUGUGUGUGGCUGGGCAGGGGACGGAAGAGAGGGAGCCGCAAUCGGGUUCUAAGGGAGCCAUGAGGCGAGAAGAACAAGCGGACUUCCAACCCG